UCAAACUUGGUCAUUUAGAGGAAGUAAAAGUCGUAACAAGGUUUCCGUAGGUGAACCUGCGGAAGGAUCAUUAACGUGCCGUGAAGGGUCGCCUUUAAAAAGGAUUAGACCUUACACCUGGCCAUCCUUGUUUAUCUCUACCUGUUGCUUUGGCAGGCCUGCCUAUUUGGCUGCUGGGGGGUGGUUUCAUCCUCGGGCUCGCGCCUGUCAAAGAACCUACAGAACUCUUGUGUUAUGGUUGAUGUCUGAGUGUGUUAGGCACAAAUUUUUAAAACUUUCAACAACGGAUCUCUUGGUUCCGGCAUCGAUGAAGAACGCAGC
rnacentral:misc_RNA from 1 species